AGAGUUUGAUCAUGGCUCAGAUUGAACGCUGGCGGCAUGCCUUACACAUGCAAGUCGAACGGUAGAGGAGCAAUCCUCGAGAGUGGCGAACGGGUGAGUAAUAUAUCGGAACGUGCCCAGUCGUGGGGGAUAACGUAGAGAAAUUUACGCUAAUACCGCAUACGAUCUAAGGAUGAAAGCGGGGGACUCGCAAGGGCCUCGCGCGAUUGGAGCGGCUGAUAUCAGAUUAGGUUGUUGGUGAGGUAAAAGCUCACCAAGCCGACGAUCUGUAGCUGGUUUGAGAGAACGACCAGCCACACUGGGACUGAGACACGGCCCAGACUCCUACGGGAGGCAGCAGUGGGGAAUUUUGGACAAUGGGCGAAAGCCUGAUCCAGCAAUGCCGCGUGCAGGAAGAAGGCCUUCGGGUUGUAAACUGCUUUUGUACGGAACGAAACGGUUCUUUCUAAUAAAGAGGGCUAAUGACGGUACCGUAAGAAUAAGCACCGGCUAACUACGUGCCAGCAGCCGCGGUAAUACGUAGGGUGCGAGCGUUAAUCGGAAUUACUGGGCGUAAAGCGUGCGCAGGCGGUUCUAUAAGACAGAUGUGAAAUCCCCGGGCUCAACCUGGGAAUGGCAUUUGUGACUGUAGAGCUAGAGUACGGUAGAGGGGGAUGGAAUUCCGCGUGUAGCAGUGAAAUGCGUAGAUAUGCGGAGGAACACCGAUGGCGAAGGCAAUCCCCUGGACCUGUACUGACGCUCAUGCACGAAAGCGUGGGGAGCAAACAGGAUUAGAUACCCUGGUAGUCCACGCCCUAAACGAUGUCAACUGGUUGUUGGGUGCAUUAGUACUCAGUAACGAAGCUAACGCGUGAAGUUGACCGCCUGGGGAGUACGGCCGCAAGGUUGAAACUCAAAUGAAUUGACGG
rnacentral:rRNA from 1 species